UACGUAGGUUGCAAGCGUUGUCCGGAUUUACUGGGCGUAAAGAGCUCGUAGGCGGUUUGUUGCGUCUGUUGUGAAAGCCCGGGGCUUAACUCCGGGUCUGCAGUGGAUACGGGCAGGCUAGAGUACGGCAGGGGAGACUGGAAUUCCUGGUGUAGCGGUGAAAUGCGCAGAUAUCAGGAGGAACACCGGUGGCGAAGGCGGGUCUCUGGGCCGAUACUGACGCUGAGGAGCGAAAGCGUGGGGAGCGAACAGG
rnacentral:rRNA from 1 species